rnacentral:lncRNA from 1 species
UUCCUGUCACUGCAGCCAGAUAGUUUCCAUGCUGCUUUCUAGGAGCACUAGAGAGUACUGUCUUCUAAUACCUGUAGGUUUUGAUGGAUGAUAUAAAGAAAGGAGGAGAUGAAGUAUUUCUACCACUCAGUUCCACUUUGAAAUGCCAUGACCACAGUUGAUGUAUGUCCUUUUCUACAUAUGACACUAGCAAACCUGACUCUAUCCAAUAUAGAUUUGAAUUAAUUUGCUCAGCAAAUACUUGUUAAGAAUUUACUAGGCACAAUCCACUGUCUAAGCACCAAAUAGGGAGAGGAUAGAAGCAGGAGUACCUGGGAGACAGAUAUAAGAGAAAAAGAUCACAAUACCUUUCUAUUGAAUGUCUGAACUAAGCUAACCUUUGUAGGCAUUCAGAGGAAAGUGAGCACAGCCAACAAAGAGGGAGGCAUGAAAGACAUUGAGUUGAUUUUUCUUUCUUUUUAUGGGGAGGAGGAGAAAAGCCUAAAUAGAGCCAGCAGCACAUGUGUUUAGGUAUCUGGCAGGGUUGGUGUUUGGUGAGUGGAGAAAAGGAGGCCUUAAGAGUAUCCAUUCCCAGUAGUUGCUGUGAUACAGAUUGGCCUUUUAUUUGUUGAAGAUGAAACCAGCUCUGACUUCUUAAGACAAUUCUGUUACCUGAAGUUUCCAUGUGCCCCAUGGCCAGGGCAGUCAGGAUGCCUGUUAUUUGACCACCUCCUGCACAGUUCCAAUUCAUUGGAUUCCAACCAGACCUAGUACACUGCCUAAUUUCAGGGAGGCAGGUUAAGUAACAAAGUAGAGGUUGGCCACCUUUCAGAUGUGAAUCCUAAGCACUCCAGUGCACUGAACAUGAGGCAUGCACCUACUUCAGUCCCCAUCUAUUUAGAUGCUUGGAAAAUGGGCCCCUGGCCUCUUGACCCAGGCCUUAAAUAGUUCUAGGGCCAGAUAAAUUGAGCUUAUACAGAUACUGAGUAUAUCUGGGGUCUCUUGGUCUUCAGCUGCCCCAGGUGGACAUCAAAGAGCAGAUCCAAUUAGUUAGGCUGAACCUACUCAGGCCAGUGCAGUAAUUUAUGGUUGUGAGGAACCACCCCUACCCACUUAAGAACAGAGAACAAUAUGCAAGGGCAUGGGGAGCAAAAUUUGCCAACUUAUAGUUAAAUCAAACACUUUUUUUAGUAGGUAAAUAAGAUAUUCAUAAAAGCCUAAAGUGAUUAUAUUAUAUAGAAGGGGGAGA